AGGACCUAAGCACGGGCCUACAGGCUAGGAGCGGCCUGGGUCGGGAGGAUGUUUCCUGGACCCAGGCUGCUCAGCGCCCACAUAUGCAAAUUAGCCGCCAUCUUGUUCGCUCUCAUUGGCUGUGGGCAUAGCGGAGGUGCGGUCAAUUUGCAUGUUUCUCUAUUAUAAGAGUAAUUUGAAAUCAAAAGUAACUUUGGAGGAAGAAGAGAAACUGAUCAUUUCAAAGCAGACUUGAAGAACAUUUCCAAAUGUACAAGGCCCAGAAGAGCAAGCUAAUUCUUGUAAUCUUCCUUUACUUCUAAACAAAUCCAUUCCUGUUCUGAAUACAAGGGAAGUUAUUAUUGUA